CAUGUUUUACUACAACGUAAUACAGCUUACUACAGUACACACAUGAUGUUCAACAUGAUCAGAGCUGCCAGUAUUAUAUGGGUUUUAAUGAUAUGUCCUGGAGGUUUUUCUCAGAGUAAUCGUGUUAAACAGAAUCCUCCUGAUCUCUUUGGCAACCAUCAACAAUCUGUUAAAAUCCAGUGUGAACACAGUGUACCAAGUUAUAAUCAGAUCAACUGGUACAGACAAGACCAGGGACUGACCUUUAUUGGAUACCAGUGGGGAACAUCUUCAACACAAAUUGAAAAUGAUUUUAAGGCUAAAGUGGAGAUUGUUGGGGAUGGAAACAAAAACGUCUCUUUGACCAUUAAAAAUCUUUUAUCCAAUGACAGUGCAGUGUACUUCUGUGCUGCUUAUUACACAGUGCUGCAUAUCUGCUUUAUUCAGUACAAAAACCUGUGUAAAUAUUCCCAGUAUCUCAUUAACACCUGCUCUUGUGGCCUGGAAAUGACACAUUGCCAGUGUUUUUAA